GCCUAAUUGACUGACACAUUCCUGUACAAAUCUAAAGACAAAUUUAUAAUUUUGACUAUAAAUCAAUAAAUGGAUUAUUCUUCUAUCACAUUGUGUACAUUGUGUCUAUGAUACAUCCUUUGAGUUAGUAGGAAUGUCAAUUCAUAUUUUCAAGAGUUGAAAAUUUAAGACAUGAAUUUACAUAACUAACUCAUAAACAGCUCCUGACCAUAAGAUCAUCACGAGGAUGGUGAUCGAUCUGGAAUGUUGGUGUACGAUCGCUUCCUUAGGAUAGAUGUGUUUUGAGUCUACGGUGUGGAGACACCAAAGUGAGAGUACAAGUAUUCAUUGAGAACGAGAGUACUGAGCGUGACCACCUCGAGCAGUCAUAAGGAAGUCUACCUUCUCGUCGAUGACUAGCUCGAUGC
rnacentral:lncRNA from 1 species